ACUGCUUCACAGCAAGAGGUUCAAUGAUGACAGCAUCUGGGGAGACCUCGGUGGACCUCGGACACCCGUCCCAUGGGUGUUAAGCCGCCCACCCUGGGUUGGGAGCCAGAGAAGAGCAGCCGGUCCCACUCCUGUCUUCACCCGCCUGUUUCCCGCAGCUUCCCUCUAAUCAUCCACCUACACCCGCUGCCCAGUUCCCCAGAAACCUGCCUAGUGUAAAGGGAAGCCAUUCUGGAGAAGCAAUUCAGAAAUCAGAAAGCAAGGCCCUGUCCUCCGAGUUCUCUCCUGGAUGAGGACCAAGGAGGUAUUUUGUGGCUCACAGAGGCUACAUCAGUCUCGGGUCCCUAACCCUUGCCUAGUUCAGCAGUAUCAUCUCACCCACCCUGGUCAUCCCAUUGUUAGAAGGAGCCAGGAAAGAAAGAAGAGAAAGGAAGAGAGGGAGGGAGAAAAUGGUCUCCAAGAAAAGAAAACUAUUGUCUGCUUCAAUCUUUCAUUUCUAUUCUCUCCCUUGGCAAGAAC